AACACAUGCAAGUCGAGGGGUAACGGAAGUAGCUUGCUACUAGACGACGACCGGCGCACGGGUGAGUAACGCGUAUGUAAUCUGCCUUGUACAGAGGGAUAGCCCAGAGAAAUUUGGAUUAAUACCUCAUAGUAUUACUGGAUCGCAUGAUUUGGUAAUUAAAGCUCCGGCGGUACAAGAUGAACAUGCGUGACAUUAGCUAGUUGGUAAGGUAACGGCUUACCAAGGCUACGAUGUCUAGGGGUUCUGAGAGGAUGAUCCCCCACACUGGUACUGAGACACGGACCAGACUCCUACGGGAGGCAGCAGUGAGGAAUAUUGGUCAAUGGACGCAAGUCUGAACCAGCCAUCCCGCGUGAAGGAUGACUGCCCUAUGGGUUGUAAACUUCUUUUAUAUGCAAAUAAACCUGCUUUCGUGAAAGUAGCUGAAGGUAGCAUAUGAAUAAACACCGGCUAACUCCGUGCCAGCAGCCGCGGUAAUACGGAGGGUGUAAGCGUUAUCCGGAUUUAUUGGGUUUAAAGGGUACGUAGGCGGUAAUAUAAGUCAGUGGUGAAAUCCUGCAGCUCAACUGUAGAACUGCCAUUGAAACUGU
rnacentral:rRNA from 1 species